rnacentral:rRNA from 1 species
GACGAACGCUGGCGGCGUGCUUAACACAUGCAAGUCGAACGGAAAGGCCCUGCUUUUGUGGGGUGCUCGAGUGGCGAACGGGUGAGUAACACGUGAGUAACCUGCCCUUGACUUUGGGAUAACUUCAGGAAACUGGGGCUAAUACCGGAUAGGAGCUCCUGCUGCAUGGUGGGGGUUGGAAAGUUUCGGCGGUUGGGGAUGGACUCGCGGCUUAUCAGCUUGUUGGUGGGGUAGUGGCUUACCAAGGCUUUGACGGGUAGCCGGCCUGAGGGGGUGACCGGUCACAUUGGGACUGAGAUACGGCCCAGACUCCUACGGGAGGCAGCAGUGGGGAAUAUUGCACAAUGGGCGGAAGCCUGAUGCAGCAACGCCGCGUGCGGGAUGACGGCCUUCGGGUUGUAAACCGCUUUCGCCUGUGACGAAGCGUGAGUGACGGUAAUGGGUAAAGAAGCACCGGCUAACUACGUG